ensembl:lncRNA
GUGGAUUCACUGUGCUGCCAAGGUUGAGGAUGCGCCACGCCUAUUGUUGAGCACUCAGCGGAUCCCUGGAGGCGCGCGGGGACAGCGCUAAACUGGAAGCCAGGACACCUGGGCUGUCGGGUCUUGCUCUGUCGCCCAGGCUGGAAGUUCAGUGGCACAAACUUGGCUCAUUGCAACCUCUACCUCCUGGGCCCAAGUGAUCCUCGCACUUCAGCCUCUUAAGUAGCAGGACUACAGGCAUGUACCACCACAUAUAGCUACGUUUUGUAUUAUUAUUAUUAUUAUGUUUUUUUGGUAGACACAGGGCUUCGCCAUAUUGCCCAGGAUGGUCUCUUUGAACUCCUAGGCUCAAGCAAUCCACUUGUCUGGGCCUCCCAAAGUGCUCAGAUUACAGGCAUGAGCCACCAUGCCCGGCCCUUCUUUUACUUAAAAAUAGCUUCUGUUUGUUAUUCAGCUGGAUAAGGUCAGAGUGGAAGGUUACUGUCUCAGGGGACCCAUAAUAUUUAUAGCUAAUUGUGAAAUUUAAAUCAUAAAACUAUAGAGUAUAAGUGCUAUAAAUGUAAAAUUUAAGAUUUAGGACUGCUCAUCUUCUGAGUCUCUUAAGAUAAAAAGUGGUAAAUCAUUGUUUUGUUGUUUUAAAUACACUGCAUUUUUUAGAGCAGUUUUAGGUUUAUAGAAGAAUUGAUCAGAAAGCAUAGAGAGUUCCCAAAUACCCUCUCCCCAAACCCCAGUUCCCUAUUAUUAACAUAUUGCAUUAAUGUGGUAUAUUUAUUACAAUUAAUGAACCAAUGUUGAUACAUUAUUAGUAACUAAAAUCCAUAGUUUGCAAGGGCUUACCCUUUGUAUUGUACGGUUCUAUGGAUUUUGACAAAUGUACAAUAACGUGUAUCCACUGUUAGAGUAUCAUACAGAAAAAUCCCCUGUGUACCAUCUAUUCACCCCUCUCCCCUAUUCCCUUAGAAACCCUUGGCAGCCACUGAUCCUUUUGUUUUUAUUUAUUUUUCUUUUUUUUCCCCCUCUACUUAACAAUAUCUCUUAUAUGAAACCACUAAUCUUCUUACUGUCCUAUAGUUUUGCCUUUGCCAGCAUAUCAUAUAGUAGGAAUCCCACAGUGUGGAAUAAUAUAGUAUAUACUGUAUUCCAUUGCAUAUGGGCACCACACUGUGUAUCCAUUUACUCUGUCAGAUACAGUGCCUUCCUGGGACCCACUGCAGGCGCGAAUUCCAGCGACUGGAGGACAGCAGGUCAGCACAUCUCCUAACCGCUACUCAAAUCGAGAAGCAAGAUUCACAGCAUUUCAGACCUCUGUGGACACCCUUCCCAAUCACCAUUUCUUCUUUCCUCCUCAAAGGCUACUUCUACACAGACAUAAUCAAUUUUUGACUAUUUGGCAACUAAGCAUCAUUAAAAUCCUCUCAAACUUCUAAUUGCGAAGAAUCGAUAACAUUUGUAGAAGUUGUAACAUUUCUCUGAACAAGAAAAGAAGUGACUGACCACAUUUUAAAAGUACUCUGGCACUGGUGCUGUUUUUCUUCCCUUCCCUAAAUUUGAAGAACUAUGGAGAAACGGUACUUGAUGACAAUAGUGGUUUUAAUAGGACUAACAGUACGGUGGACAGUCUCUCUUAAUUCUUAUUCAGGUGCUGGAAAACUCCCUGUUUGGUGAUUAUGAAGCUCAGAGACACUGGCAGGAAAUAUCUUUUAAUUUACCAGUCAAAUAAUGUUAUUUUAACAGCAGUGAUAACAAUUUACAGUAUUGGGGAUUGGAUUACCCGCCUCUUACAGCUUAUCAUAGUCUCCUAUGUGCCUAUGCGGCAAAGUUUAUAAAUCCAGACUGGAUUGCUCUUCAUACAUCACAUGGAUACAAGAGUCAGGCAUAUAAGCUCUAUUCAUGCGUACAACAGUUUUAAUCGCUGAUCUGCUGAUUUACAUACCUGCAGUGGUUUUGUACAGCUAUUGUUUAAAAGAAAUCUCAACUAAGAAAAAGAUUGCUAAUGCAUUACGCAUCUUGCUGUAUCCAGGCCUUAUUCUUAUAGACUAUGGACAUUUUCAGUAUCCUUUACUGAUGUAGAAAUGAAGUCGGUUGCAUAUUAUGAAAUCUAGGCUCAAUGUGUACAAUUACUAGAGCUUGUUUAAACCAAAACAAGUCAGUUGCCGUUUAGCAGUAGACUUAAUGUAUUUGAGGCUAUUACACAUGAUUUCAUGUUUGUUUUUCACUUCUGUACUUUGAAUUUCUAUUUGGAAAUAGCUUUCAUCAUAUGUGUUAUUUUAAAAUCACAUAGGAGAUAUGUUCUAUUAAAUGCAAGCUUUGUCUUUUUGAAAAAAUAAAAAUAAAUAAAUAAAUAAUCUUCCUGCUCCUUAAAGCUACUCCAGGUGUGUCCGUGUUGUUUUUUUCUUUUUCUUUUCUUUCUUUUUCUUUUUUUUUGAGAUGGUGUUUCUCUCUUGUUGCCCAGGCUGGAGUGCAGUGGUGUUGUCUCGGCUCACUGCAACCUCUGCCUCCCAGGUUCAAGCAGUGCUACUGCCUCAGCCUCCCAACUAGCUGGGAUUACAGGCAUGUGCCACCAUGCCAGGCUAAUUUUGUAUUUUUAGUAGAGAUGGGGUUUCUCCACGUUGAUCAGGCUGGUCUUGAACUCCUGACCUCAGAUGAUCCAGCUGCCGUGGCCUCCCAAAGUGCUGGGAUUACAGGCGUAAGCCACCGCGCCCAGCCUACAGAAGCUCUUCUUAACUUCUUAGCUAGCAGAGGAUAUCAGGUUUUAAAACCCAAGGCUCAACUCUGCAAAACCUCUGUAAUGUACCCAGGCUUAGUGGUAUCUAAAGGGACCAGAGCAUUGGGGGAAGAUAGGAUUAAGCCUAUCUCCUCCUUCCCCCUCCCAAAACCCUCAAGCAACCUAGAAGAUUUUUGGGUAUUACAGGAUUCCAUAGGCUAUGGAUAACUGGGUAUAGUGAAAUAGCCCAUCCAUUAUAUAACCUCAUAAAAGAAACUUGGGGAGCUAAAACUCAUCUUUUAACCUGGGAACCUGAAGCUCAAAGGCAUUUGACCAGCUAAAGUGAGCCUUGCUCAAGGCACCAGCUCUCAGCCUUCCUGUAGAGAAGGCCUUCAAUCUGUAUAUAUCAGAAAGGAAGGGAGUAGCCCAAGGAGUUUUAACACAGGCCCAAGGACGAGCUCAACUGCCAGUAGGCUACCUAAGUAAGGAACUUGAUUUGGUGGUUAAAGAGUGGCCAACAUGCCUCUGAGCCAUUGCUUCAGUGGCUCUGCUGGUCCCAGAAGUCUGCAAAUUAACCCUGGGGAAUGAUUUAACUGUUUACAACCCACACAAUGUGCAGUACUACUGUACUCUAAAGGAAGGCUU